GGGGACGCGUGGCUUUGACAGGUAAAUAGAAGAAUAGUUUGCGAAUCGAGAUUCCAUAUUCUCGUUAAACUUUGGAAAAAAAUAAACGGCGAAAAAGAAUACGCUUUAGCAGCAGUUUAAUCUAGCUUGCUACAUCUUACUAAGACUUUUCUCGGAAGGCUUACAAAGAUGACAAAUUUCCGAGAUGCUAUGUUAAGUUGCUGAGCUUAACAGACAAGACUUUUCAGCAGAGUGCUUAGUUUAGAUUUGUCGCUUUAUCGGCUAAGUAUUUAAUAAAGUGACUAUUUUCGUAGAGGAUUAAUCUGAUAUUUAUUUGGACGGGGAGUUCGACUCUCCCCCGUCUCCACCA
rnacentral:tmRNA from 1 species